CCCACGAUGCGAGUUUACCCAAGAGCUCUCCCGAGUUUAAAAAAAAAUCAAACUCGUGGUAUUCUACGAACUCCUACGACCUUCCACGAGUAUGUUCAUGAACUCCUACGAGCUCCUACGAGUAUGUCUACGUAUCCCCACUAAUAUUUUG